AGUUGCAAAGCUUCCGGUUCUGGGGGAAGGCGUGGCUUCCGCGCUCUUUGGAAUGUCCGGCGCCUGAGCGCCUGGGUUCUUUCGUUGGAGAGGGUCCCAUUUCCAGUCAUUCUUCAGCCUGGUGAUUCCCGCGCUCCCCUGAGGAGCAUAUGAAGUAUGUCGGUUCUGCCAGGUUGGAACGCGCUGCUGGACACUCGGCCGUAAGGCGGAUCCCGGAUCCCGUCCCACUCCGACCCUUCCCUCCAGAAGGGCCGGUUCCCAAACGGCCCCUUUAGACACAUCCCAGCGGUUUCCGACGGCCCUCACGAUGAAAACUGCUGUCCGUUGGUGAAGGCAGCCUCUUCUGUGCUCCUCGCCGCUGACUUUCUGAGGCGGACCUACCUGUGGAGGCAUACCAGGAACCAGACGAUGACCCCCUCCAAAAGUUGGGUCUUUGAGGAGAGCUACUAACUUGGGUUCCUGGUACACCCUCUACAUGCAGUGGUGAAGCUUAUCUAACAGUCAUUCAUAGAAUCAGUUUGGGAAGGGGAAUUUUCGCUGAACUCUCAUAGAGAAACUGUUUUAGAUAACAAAGUUCUGCACGGUUAAAAUUGAACAGAAAUUUUUUUGCAUAGAAAUUAGGAUUACCGAAAAUACUGAAGAAAGACUACCUCUGAUUGGACUCUUCUCAAGGAAUUAAUAAUUCAAGAACUAAGGAAAGAAAAAAGUGAUUAUAUGAAAAUACUGAAGUUGAUCGUAGCAACUGAAGGCUGAUCCUGUGUGGGCUGAAGUACAUUGGUGCAAUCUUGGCUCACUACAUCUCUACCCCAAGUUCAAGCAAUUCUCCUGCCUCAGCCUCCCAAGCAGCUGGGAUUACAGAAUGUCACAUAAAUGGAAUCAAUUUCAUCUCUCUCUCUGCUAUGGACACAGAUGGCUUCACUCCAUCCUGUAUUCUCUGGACCAUGAUAGAAUUCCAGACUCUCAGUAGUUUUUGCAUUCCAAGAAGUAGAGCCUAGAGUGGUGGCCUAUAAUUACAGUUACUCAGGAGGCUGAGGCAGGAGGAUCCUUUGAAGUCCAGCAGUUUGAGGCCAGCCUGGACACCACAGCAAGACCACCAAUAAAUAAAUAAAUAAAUGGAACAUGUUUCCGUC
rnacentral:antisense_RNA from 1 species